GUCUGGUGUUCCCUCGUGCCCCCACUUGCACCACGCCCACGUGUCGCUGCCCAUGCACAGUCCUCUACUGGUAGGCUGGAAGGCUCCUGAACAGGUUAGCUUUGUUUCACAAGGUCCCAGCGACAGGAGGAAGCCCAGUCCACCGGAAGUGAAGGUUGGAGGGAAAGGUGAAGGACAGGAAGUGGGAAGAUGACUCCUGGGACCCAUAAUCAUGCAUGAGCAGUUCAGAGCUUCCCAGAAGGGAAGAAGACAAGCUGUAGGGGCAGUAAGAUUUGCACACCUUGGGUCCUGGGACCAUCCUGCUCAGCUGAGUAGAAUACCAAACGAGGGUGUCUCUGAGCUGCACUUCACCUCAGCCAGGCAAUCGACAGGAGAAGCAGCGAGCGAGACCGACAGACUGUCACUGGCAAAAUGAACUGUCACCUCCCAUUUUUCAGAGGCACGGCGGGAUGAAUUGCAGCCUUGAACCGUGCGGCCCGCUGUUGAUUGAGUUCCGCUGUCUUAGAACCCCGUCGAACAAGGCGAGUUCAUUUCAGACUGACGUACCACCGCUUAUCAAUUUAGGAGCCAGUAAAAUUAACCGCUUCGGAGCUGAUUUUCUCCCUCCCCCUGCUUGGAUUCUGCAUCCAGAAAGGUCACCAAAUAAAUCUCUCUGGGUCCUGCUAGCAUAAUGUGCAGCUAGGAGAUGGGGUCUCAGAAGAGGAAGCUGAACCAAACAGCCCAGGCCCAAAAGGUCGCUGAGGCCCCCUUACAGCCACGGAUUGCGGCAGUGGUGUGUGACAAGUCAUGCCUUUGCUAACUCUGCUUUGCCCACAUCAGCAGCAUCUGCUCCCAAGAGAUACUGUGGUUGGGUAGGAUUGGGUGACUGAGAAUGGAGGUGCUACAGAAGCCCCCCUAGUCUUUCUGCAGAGAUCUCUGUGUAUUCUUCAGCUUUGCAUCCACAGGGCCUUACACAUAGUAGGCACCCGCUAAAUGUCUAUUAAACUGAGUAAGACUUGAUGUAUGCUUUACCAUCAAUUGGUUUGAAAAGUUUAAAAAAAGUUAGCAUGGACAGGGCCCUGGUGGAGAGAAAAAAAAAGAAAUGUUUAUCUAGGGAUAUCUUUACUGUCACUGGACAUUCAUGGGGCCAGGUCAUGCUAAAAAUCCUCUGGCAAGUUGAAAUGCAGGUCCUUGGAGCAGAGCAGGAUGCUCACCAGAACAGGGCUCCUUGUGUCCAGAAGAAAAACUGUCUCAUGCCACAUUCUCCCCUCACACGCAUACAGCUUUUUUGCUCACAAAGGCCCGUCCAGUAGGUCUAAUUUACAUAUCUCAGGGCUUCUCCUCUCCUCUGCAUCUGGGACACAAAUAGUUUUCUCAACACCCUUUGAACCUCUUGUCACCAUGGCAGACUAUGGCAGUGAUCAUUUCUGGAGAUACAACCAAAGUGUUCUCAAGAUAAUUUAAAGGUUUGGACUCUUAGACAUGCUCUACCUCUAUCUAAAAACAUCCACUUUUCACCAAAGGUGCCUCAUCUCAGAGGGACAGGGGACAUCUGGUUUGGGAGACUUGCACAGGAAAUAAAGACCUAUGGGCUGGACACGCUGGCUCAUACCUGUAAUCCCAGCACUUUGGAAAGCUGAAACAAGCAGAUUGCUUGAGCCCAGGAGUUCAUGAUCAGCCUGGGCAACAUGGCGAAACCCCAUCUCUACAAAAAACACAAAAAUUAGCCAGGUGUGGUGGUGGAUGCCUGUCAUCCCAGCUACUCAGGAGGCUGAGGUGGGAGGAUCGAUUGAGCCCGGGAAGUAAAGGCAGCACCGUGAGCUGAGAUUGUAUCACUGCACUCUAGCCUGGGUAAUGGAGUGAAGCCCUGUCUCAAAAAAAAAAAAAAAAAAAAAAAAAAAAAAAA
ensembl:lncRNA